rnacentral:rRNA from 1 species
UACGAACGCUGGCGGCGUGCUUAACACAUGCAAGUCGAGCGGAGCGGCGAACGGGUGAGUAACGCGUGAGUAACUGCCCCCCUCCCUGGGAUAACAGUUGGAAACGGCUGCUAAUACCGGAUAGUGGGGGAUGGCUCGCGUCCUAUCAGCUUGGUGGUGGGGUAGUGGCCUACCAAGGCGACGACGGGUAGCCGGCCUGAGAGGGUGACCGGCCACAUUGGGCUGAGAUGCGGCCCAGACUCCUCAGGGGGGCAGCAGUGGGGGAAAUUGCACAAUGGGCGAAAGCCUGAUGCAGCGUCGCCGCGUGGGGGAUGAAGGCUUUCGGGUUGUAAACCUCUUUCGCUAUCGAAAGGGUAGGUGGAGAAGAAGCGCCGGCUAACUACGUGCCAGCCGCCGCGGUAAUAC